GCAUACAAAUUCCCAGACGAAAUUAAAAAUAAGUGUAGCACAGGUUGGAUUCAAUUGAAGAUCGGCGUGAGAGAGAAGGAUCAGGCGUGGAAAUUUCCCAUUUGAGAUAAAAGAGAGUGUUGAUUCGACUUUUGAAUUGGGUCACACGCGGACCGUCCCUUUUCAAAGGACGCCGUUUUUUACAAAGGUUUUAAUGCCUCUUUCCCUUCUUCGUUUUUUUUUUUUCAGAUGCAGCCAUCCCUUAACCCAAAUUAACAGCCCCAAAAAAAUAUCAAUUUGUUAGGGUUUCUAGCGCCCGCCGAAUCCACCAUUUCAUUUGGUGGUCGAUGGCGUACCAACGGUGAUGGAUGAUGCCUUUGGAUCCCCUUCCAACUUCGAUCUCAACGAAGUGAACAGAGAUCAAUGGUCGAUUCGCAAGGAAAGGUCGUACACAAGCACGAGCGGAGACGCGCGCGAGGGGCUGGUGGCGCACGUGUGGUGCUGGAGACCGACUGCUAGUUGCGGCGUGAGGGGAGAUAGCUAACUGCUGGUGUUUUCCAGAAACCUCUAGGGUUUCUGGUGUUUUCAGUUAUUGGGCCUUUUUUCGGGUCAUUUUGGGUCUCGGGUUUGGGCUUGUUUAAUGGACUGUUAAUUUGGACUUUAUUUUGGUUUAUUUAUUUAUUUAUUUUGA